rnacentral:rRNA from 1 species
UACGUAGGUGGCAAGCGUUGUCCGGAAUUAUUGGGCGUAAAGCGCGCGCAGGCGGUCUUUUAAGUCUGAUGUGAAAUCUCGCGGCUCAACUGCGAGCGGUCAUUGGAAACUGGAGGACUUGAGUACAGAAGAGGAAAGUGGAAUUCCACGUGUAGCGGUGAAAUGCGUAGAGAUGUGGAGGAACACCAGUGGCGAAGGCGGCUUUCUGGUCUGUAACUGACGCUGAGGCGCGAAAGCGUGGGGAGCAAACAGG